AGAGUUUGAUUAUGGCUCAGGAUGAACGCUGGCGGCGUGCUUAACACAUGCAAGUCGAGCGAAGCGCAUAAGUUUGAUUCUUCGGAUGAAGAUUUAUGCGACUGAGCGGCGGACGGGUGAGUAACGCGUGGGUAACCUGCCUUACACAGGGGGAUAACAGUUAGAAAUGACUGCUAAUACCGCAUAAGACCCCGGUACCGCAUGGUACAGAGGUAAAAACUGAGGUGGUGUAAGAUGGACCCGCGUCUGAUUAGGUAGUUGGUGAGGUAACGGCUCACCAAGCCGACGAUCAGUAGCCGGCCUGAGAGGGUGGACGGCCACAUUGGGACUGAGACACGGCCCAGACUCCUACGGGAGGCAGCAGUGGGGAAUAUUGCACAAUGGGGGAAACCCUGAUGCAGCGACGCCGCGUGAGCGAUGAAGUAUUUCGGUAUGUAAAGCUCUAUCAGCAGGGAAGAAAAUGACGGUACCUGACUAAGAAGCCCCGGCUAACUACGUGCCAGCAGCCGCGGUAAUACGUAGGGGGCAAGCGUUAUCCGGAUUUACUGGGUGUAAAGGGAGCGUAGACGGCAUGGCAAGCCAGAUGUGAAAUACCGGGGCUCAACCCCGGGACUGCAUUUGGAACUGUUAAGCU
rnacentral:rRNA from 1 species